UGGGGAAUUUUGCGCAAUGGGCGAAAGCCUGACGCAGCAACGCCGCGUGAGUGAUGAAGGUCUUCGGAUCGUAAAGCUCUGUCGGCAGGAACGAUGGCUUCGUUGGCUAACAUCCAACGAGGUUGACGGUACUUGCAAAGGAAGCACCGGCUAACUCUGUGCCAGCAGCCGCGGUAAGACAGAGGGUGCAAGCGUUGUUCGGAAUUAUUGGGCGUAAAGCGCACGUAGGCGGCGGAGCAUGUCGGAUGUGAAAGCCCUGGGCUCAACCGAGGAAGUGCAUCCGAAACUGCUCUGCUUGAGUGUCGGAGAGGGUGGUGGAAUUCCCAGUGUAGAGGUGAAAUUCGUAGAUAUUGGGAGGAACACCCGUGGCGAAGGCGACCACCUGGACGAACACUGACGCUGAGGUGCGAAAGCGUGGGUAGCAAACAGG
rnacentral:rRNA from 1 species